GUGGAGCCUCCGCCGUCCUGUCAGAGAGAGGUUCUGGGGCCUUCGAGUCGGCGCCAGUGCAGUCUCUGAGGCGCCCUCACCACAGCGGAGCCUGCUGGCUAAGGACAGGACUUUGGCAAGGAACAUGAAACUCAAAAUGCCUUCACUUAUUAUAAACUUGAUGCAUUAUUAUAGGUGAGAAAGAUUUGCAACUGGGAGGACUCAUUGUUCUUUGGAUGGCUGCUGUUUCUUUAAAUUGGGUGAAAAAACUGUACAGU